AGUAGAACGCUGAGGCUCGAAAGCGUGGGGAGCGAACAGGAUUAGAUACCCUGGUAGUCCACGCCGUAAACGAUGAGUGCUAGGUGUUGGAUCCUUUCCGGGAUUCAGUGCCGAGCUAACGCAUUAAGCACUCCGCCUGGGGAGUACGACCGCAAGGUUGAAACUCAAAGGAAUUGACGGGGGCCCGCACAAGCGGUGGAGCAUGUGGUUUAAUUGAAGCAACGCGAAGAACCUUACCAGGUCUUGACAUCCCGAUGCUAUUUCUAGAGAUAGAAAGUUACUUCGGUACAUCGGUGACAGGUGGUGCAUGGUUGUCGUCAGCUCGUGUCGUGAGAUGUUGGGUUAAGUCCCGCAACGAGCGCAACCCCUAUUGUUAGUUGCCAUCAUUCAGUUGGGCACUCUAGCGAGACUGCCGGUAAUAAACCGGAGGAAGGUGGGGAUGACGUCAAAUCAUCAUGCCCCUUAUGACCUGGGCUACACACGUGCUACAAUGGUUGGUACAACGAGUUGCGAGUCGGUGACGGCGAGCUAAUCUCUUAAAGCCAAUCUCAGUUCGGAUUGUAGGCUGCAACUCGCCUACAUGAAGUCGGAAUCGCUAGUAAUCGCGGAUCAGCACGCCGCGGUGAAUACGUUCCCGGGCCUUGUACACACCGCCCGUCCACCACGAGAGUUUGUAACACCCGAAGUCGGUGAGGUAACCUUUU
rnacentral:rRNA from 1 species